rnacentral:lncRNA from 1 species
UCAAACUAACCACAAAUGGGGCCAAAAUUUUAUACAUAUAUAAAACACUGUAAUGAAAUAGGUAAUUAUACAAUUUAUUUUUCUUGAAAGUGGACCUAACCUUAGAGAGGGUAAAAAAAACAAAUAAAUAAAACAAUAUUAGUACAAAGUUUUGUUUGGCUUUGCCAAAAAUAAAAUAAAAUAAAAUAAAUACCCAAAAGAAGAAUCCAAACCAC